UUAGUUGCCUACUCAUCUACGUUGAAUUACUAUAGAAAGAUGAAAUAAUUGGCAACAACUCCGAAAUCAUAUAUACUAUCAUUACAAAGAGGAUUUUUAUUUGAGUCCCUGUCAUAACAAAUUGGUCACUUCCCGGUCUCUUCCUGUAGGGUCCAAUACUCUCAAUCUUUUCUUCUUUAUCUAUUUCAGUCAUAUUCAUUUUUUAUAAAUGUUUAUCGCUAACAUAAGUAUAAUACUCCAAAAUUUUAAGAGGAGAUGGUGGUGUAUGCGGCUUUCUAAUGAUCUCUUGCGGCGGCUAUGAUGGUGGUGGCUACGGCGAAGGCAGUGGGUUGGAGGUCGAGGCAAUUGAGAGGAAGUUGUUGAGGUUGGGGGUGCAAGAAGGCAUGAUUUUUUGAGGGCUUUUGUAUAAAAUUUAGAUCAUAUUGCUGGAUAGGAAGAUCUAGUCAUUCGGAGUUCACUGGAGAUGAUAGAUUACCUAUCAAAAAUCAUAUGAGAGAGAUCAAGGCCAUGAUAGCAGGACUGUUGAUCAAAAUUUAGAUUACAAUUGUAAAAGUCAAAGGUUUGAAUUUUAAACAUGUUUUGGAUAAGUUUGUAUUUUGAAUUUUAAA